rnacentral:rRNA from 1 species
GAUGAACGCUGGCGGCGUGCUUAACACAUGCAAGUCGAACGGUGAAAGAGGAGCUUGCUCCUCUGGAUCAGUGGCGAACGGGUGAGUAACACGUGAGUAACCUGCCCCAGACUCUGGGAUAAGCGUUGGAAACGACGUCUAAUACCGGAUACGAGCUUCAGUCGCAUGACUAGGAGCUGGAAAGAAUUUCGGUCUGGGAUGGACUCGCGGCCUAUCAGGUAGUUGGUGAGGUAACGGCCCACCAAGCCUACGACGGGUAGCCGGCCUGAGAGGGUGACCGGCCACACUGGGACUGAGACACGGCCCAGACUCCUACGGGAGGCAGCAGUGGGGAAUAUUGCACAAUGGGCGCAAGCCUGAUGCAGCAACGCCGCGUGAGGGAUGACGGCCUUCGGGUUGUAAACCUCUUUUAGUAGGGAAGAAGCGAAAGUGACGGUACCUGCAGAAAAAGCACCGGCUAACUACGUGCCAGCCGCCGCGGUAACAC